CCCCGUGCCCUCGCGCAGGGCAGCCCGGGCGGCCCUCAGGCCUCCUCCUCCUCCUUACGGCCUUCCCUUGAUUCCUCCUUCAGGUUCUCGGCCAUGAGCUUCAUUUGCUGUUGAGAGAACACAGGACACCGGCCACAGGACCACGCCCGGCCAUCCCGUGCCACCGGGGGCAUCCUAUGAAAUCUCGCUGAGGGCCAGGCCGUGACGGAGGCGCAGCCCGCCAGGCUCAGAGGGAAGUGUGGGAAGGAGCCCGGCCCCAGGACGAGGCGGCAGCCGUGGGAGGAGGUCCUGGGGCCCCACCCUCGCAGCCCCCUGUCCCGUGGGUGCUGGAAAACACGACCGUGGCUCUGCUUGUUUGCUGAAAAAGUGAGUAACUCCUUUGGAAUUUGGCCUAAAAUACACACGCUGAUUUUCGAUAACACUUACUUACUUAGGGGAAACACAAAACUCUCUGCGCACAAAGUCCGCAGCUGCCCCAGGAACCUGGCCGCCCCUGUGGGAGGCCCCCGGCCCCACGUGGCGCUGGACAGGACACCACGUGCCCUCUGGCUUUCAGGGCGAGGAACCCCUUUCGUGGACUAUCAUCAAGAGCCUCCGUCUCCCGCUUCAACCCCAUCUCCCCUUGUGAGGACCCUCAGAUCUGCCGGGCCUCCGGAGACCCCACUUCACCCCAGAUGGUUCCCUUCUCCGAGCCCGGCCUGUCUUCCACGGGAGGCACGGCGACGGGAGCCUGCGGGCGGCGGCUCUCCCCGUGGGCCGGGAACUGCCGCCGGGCCUUUGCUCGUCCGCAGCAGGCUCUGGGAGGGCUCGUGCCGGGGAAGGGGGCAGGCGGGUCGCGGCGACCCGUCUGCGGGGGAGCGGGCUCUCCCUGCAGGGGAGGCAGCAGGCCGACCGGAGCAGGACGCGGGCGCAGGAGCGGACCCUGGCCCGAGGACCCACAGCGGCGAUGUCUGCACGACCUUCGGCCUGAGGGGCGAUGGUGACGGCUUGACUUAGUUCGCCAACCGGGAGGAGCAGAACUGCCGGGCCACGUGAGGGUCGAGCCCACUUCGCCUGCUAACGGCUGAGGUAACUGUCCCCAAACAGCAAAACCGGCACCUUUCAGGCCGGAUUCUCGGCGGACUCUCCCAGCUGAUGUCAUUUAAUACUUAAGAGACCUUCUUAAAGGUCUUAAAGGUCUUAAAGACCUACUUAAAGAGACCAUCUUUUGAUGAGAGACAGAAUAUGAAUCUAUUUCCUGAUUUGACAAGUAACCAUAGAAAGUAAAGGCUAAAUAGAUUUAACUAAACUAGAACUACAAGGGGGACAGACUAUUCCCUGGCUGGUCAGAGAGUCUUCUAGCCAUGCUCCCCCAGCGUUCACGUGGGGAGGAAAAUCAAAAUGGGUUUUGAUCCAGAGGAGGCUUUGAGGCUCCCCGCAGGGCGCCAGCUGCUCCCUCACUACUGCCUCCGGGAGCCCCUUGGCCGCACGGGGGACUGCAGGGGGUCUGCAGAUCUCCCAGGAGGGGCACCCCGCUCUCGGGCAGCCGGGCCGAGGGUUCUGUGGGACGCGCCCUCUCCCCGGAACGACCCGGCCUUCAGUGACUCUUCUCUCAGGCCAAGGUGGGACCUCACGCAGGCCAGGGAGGGACUGGAGGGACUCGGAACCCACCUCCCUGCCUGAAGCACCCGCCCCCCUUGCUCAGGGUGGCCGGCUCCCGAGCUCAGGGGGCAUCCGGGAGGUCACAGUUUACCCGCACUGAGCUGCAAAGGUAGGAACGGCGGCCAGCGACCCCACCACCCUCUCAGGCCUCAGCCCAGGCAGCAGGAGCAGUUUGCCAGGAGCACCUAUCUCUGUAAGGAGGACGGACCAGGCCCCUCAAUCUGCUGUGCUGGGCCAAGCCCGCCUGCCGCCCUUCCCCUCUGUGGUGGGUCCCGUGGGGCCUGAUCUGCCUCAUGGAGCUUUGUGACCCCACCGGAGACGUGGCCCACAGUGGGCGGGAAGGCUUGUGCUCCCCAGACCUUUGCCAGCACAGGGCUGAGCAUCCUGGCCACGAGGGGAGCUCAGGCUUGGCUCAUCUCCCUGUAUCUUCCGUCCUCCCUGCUGGACAGGCUGAGCCGGGGGCAGGACCAGAACUCCAAACCCAUGGCUAAAGCCCAAAGAAACACUCAAGCAGCUCAGAAGAAACAAGUUGUGGCAGCCGGCUUGCCAGAGAUGAAGAGUUAAACUGGUUUUGAGGUCAGUGAGCGACACCCAAAUCCUCCCUUGUAAACAGGCAGGCCUCUUCUGUUCCUCCCGCAAGAGUCAGAAGCUACGAGGCCUUGUGACGACUUCUCUCAGGUGAGGAAGGGUCCAGAUCCCAUCUGCUGUUAUGAACUUGUAACAGAACCCCACCCCACCCUCCUGGUAAAGAGGAGCCAGGGGGUUGAGCCCCCUCCCCGCCCAGAGGAGACCAUGAGUGUUGGCAGAAUUAAGGCUAAGAAGCACAGAUGUUCUAAUCCGAAAGAACCUUCAUGAUCAUUCAGUCCUGUGGCCGCUUAAGACCCUGGAGACUCUCUUAAAUGCAGAUUCAUAGGCCCCUCCCUGAGAUGCUAACUCACUGGUCUGUAGGGGGGCCCAGGUCUCUGAAGUUUCUCCUGAGACGUCCCCAGCCUUGGGAGUCUCUGAUGUGUUGACUGCCAUCUUGCGUGGGUAAGCAAGCUGGAGUGGAGGCGGGUAGGUCCCUUCUGGGCCACGCUGUGGGCCCAGGCAGUCACAGGGCAGGGCCCAACCCGGCUGUUCCCUCUGGGCACCAGGCUGCCUCCUGCAGCCCAGCCCUCUGGCUUCUUUUUCCUGGGGCGGGGGUAAGGGUAGGGGGGCAACAUUAUUCCUUUUUUAAAGAAAAAACCUGGCUUCUUUAGAGAUUCCUAAAUUAAAACCUUAUUGAAAACAUAAGCAGGAUAAUAGUGCCGACUUCCUCCCCACCAGAAGCAUCAGAACGAAGAGAAUGAAAUCUUCCCUAAUUCGUGACUCGUUAAAACACUCAUGUUCCAAACAACUCUUUAAGAAGUACAGGCUGACUUCUUGCGUCGUUAUUAGCGAUGAUCAUAAGGGGACCACAGUCGCUGAGUGUGCGGUCCCAGUGCGCAGCUCCGCGCAAGAAAGGACGCAUAAGCGGGCCCGCUCCGCCCUGCGGAGACGUAGGCAGGUGCCUUCUGAGACCUGGGGGGGCCCUCGCCCGCCCAGCCUGUCGUACAGACCGAACCCGCGAUCAGCUUCGGGAUCCCUCCGUUCACAGCGCUCAGGAAGUCACAACCCACGGAUCCCAUUACCGCCCGGGUUGCGAUGUGCUGGCAACGACUCCGUUACCCCUCCCGCUCGGGAGCAACCGCCGCGCACGGAAAAAGCCGGAUCUCAGCUCCCAGCUGCAGGGCAGAGAGAGCCGCUGCCUUCCUGCCUUCCCGUUCACCGGAGGCUUCGCUGGCCUGGGGCUGGCUCAGUUCAGUUCAGGCACAGCACCUGCUCCCCCCAGUCCUGCCGGCCUCGGGGGUGCAGGCCUGGCGACGGGGCAUGAGGAUCACCAGUCCCCGGCCACCUCCAUUCUGAUGGAGCCGGCUGCCCCCCGGGGAUUCUAGCACUGACAGGAAGCCUCCACCUCCAGCGGGAAGGACGGCCUUCUGGAAGCCUCCUUCCUGCACAGCUGCGCCCCCGCACCCCUGGCGAGCACAACCCAGGUCUUCUCUUGUCUCCCACCACCACGCUGAGGCCAGGCAGCUUGUUUGGGGUCAUGUGGCCAGAGUCAGGGCAAAAUUAAGCAAUUUCGGUGGUUCAGGUGAAAAAGAAAGCGAAGGAUGGGCCAUGCCACAAAGACUGUUUUUUUCUUUAUAUAUUUUUUGGUCAUCUCGACACCCAACGUGGGCCUCGAACUCACAACCCCGAGAUCAAGAGUCACAUGCUCUUCUGACUCAGCCAGCCGGGCGCCCAAGACUGUUUUCAUUUGUUCUAGCUAGAGGAAAGCUUCCCUCAAAGCAGCACUGUUCCGGACACAUUCUAAUAGGACGAUUAAAGGCUCCAGAUCUGCCCUCAGGCUCCGACGAGCCCCGCAGCAGUGGGUACGGGGCAGGAGGGCCCAGGGGCAGUGGCCCCCCAGGCUGUCCUGGGGGCCCUGCGUACAGCACCUCUCCCCCUGGAGGGUCUGGUUCAUAACACGUACAAAAUGCGAGGUCUGUCGAGCAUCAGACAGGCCGGCGCUCUGAGUGCCGCGUCCCCACCCCAGCCAGCUGUACUCCUUCACCCCUUCUCGGGGGCCACGAUCACCUUGCUGCUCCGACCAAACAUUGAGCCCUUAUGGCGGAUGCCUCUGUGCCCCUCCCCGGUCUUCUGUCUGCCGUGGGGCCCCGCCGACCCCACCUGCCAGGCACACCCACCGCUCCCAGCACCGGCCUCCCAGGCUCGCCGAUGCCGUCCAAAAGCAGCCCAAGCCGGGCUCUCAAACAGGGAACCAGAACAUGCUACCACAGGGCCUUCUCAUAGGUUCUGGACUGAACCGCAGGUCACUCGGCCCAGAGGGGCUGCCUGUCGCCGUCGCCCUCCACUGUAGUUCCUGCACUCCGCUCGCACCGUCUGCUUUUGUCCACGCUUAUGUGCAGGGUUUUCCUGCUUCAAUGUUCUAUCCACCUAGUGCGUGCUCCGGAGAGGAUACGACACUGCCCUCUGCCCCCAGGGGCCCACGACACGGUGCGGGAGCUGCAGCCAGCUCUCCACAAAUACCUGUGGCAGAGGGACCACGGCCUGGAGCCCCAAGCAGCAGCCAGCGCGAUGAGGGCUCAGCCCGUAACUCAGCAUGACCACCACGAGCUGGCAAGUAAACUGCAGUACACGGGCGUGUGAGACACAUUCACGUUCUUGAAGCGAGCAUCACUAUCUGGACCACAGAUGUGUCGGUCACACGUAUGGGAUCACAGAAAAGACACGAGCGUGUGGGCUUUACGCCCGAAAUUCCAGGAUUUUGGAGGUCUAGUUAUCUGCCCUGGUCGCAGUACGGGUCUGGGCCCCUUAGGAUCGGGCCUCAGUGCGGACAGGAAUCUUGGCUCCCCCAGAGCCAGCUGUGGUUCUGGCUCUGGCUCGGGUGGCCCGCGAUGACAGCUGGGGAAGUGGCCGGAGGAGGAAACUCAAGGGCCGCCAGGAAGGCUGCCGAAUCACCAGCUUGACCCCAGCUGGAAACUAAGAUUCCUCCAAGAUCAAAACCCAGCUCCAAAGAAGCUCCAAGACCUGGUGGCCAGGCCCAGCUCCACCAUCGGGUGAGGCGCUGGGGGCCACAAGUCCAUUAACUGCCGAGCUGACCCUGGGGAGGGUAGAGUCCGUUUCACUUAAAAACACUAAAAAAAAAUCUACUUCUUAAAUAACCGUGUAGGCCCUGCUUUCUCUGCAUAGUUGGGUUUCAGAGCUGAAUUUCCAAACGCAGAAGUUAAAGGCUCCUGGAAGGAGAACCCCACAGAUAUCCUGAGAGUGGAAAUGACUUUCUGUGCAGAGUGAGGGGCCUACAGAAGCCAGAGGCUUUGCUUCCCUGCCAUCCCCAGGUACGCACUUACUCUCACGCUUCCCUAUCCUAGGUUCCCACGGGCUGCGGGGCACGGGCAGGUGCGUCCACACCAGCCCUGUGCUUCACGCGUGUUCUCUGUAGCAGCUCCACGGAAGUCUCGGCUACUUGCCUCUCCACCUGCCCGUUUCCUGCAUUUCUAAUUCUGCUUCUACAUCAAAACCUCAUUCCCCCUCCUGCUUUAUUGAUACAACUUUCAAUGUCUGUUACAUUCUCUUAUUUUUGUGCAACUCAGUGACCGACAGUCACAUCACAACACAUCCCAGACGCUGCUCUCAACUCCGUAUUGACUCACUUGCUCCCCAUGACCGUCCUACGAGAAACAUACCGUCAUCAUCCUUUCAAAGGUGGAACGGAGGCACAGGGAGGCUGAGAAGCCUGCCGAGGUCACACAGCUCACGGGAGGCCCGCGCCCAGCAUGCCGACACUGCUCUGGUUUUGUGCCAUUUAACGCCACCUAGCUUCCCGCUGCGGCCACCGGUGCUCCGAGACGCACAUUCAGCUGGAUCACACUUCCAUCUCAAGAGGGUUUGCCGCGACUUUUCUGAUCCUCGGCGAGGCCUAAAUUUUGUGCCAUCCCACCUGGCUCAGAGUUUCUGCUUCUGCUAAACCUCUGAACCGAGGGAGUCCGGCCCUGGAACCCACCGCGUCCACCUCCAUCCUGACUUGUGAGCAUGAUUUUACGCAUGACAGUAAGAAGUUGCUUACGACUUCAGGAAGGAAGUUUGAGAGUUAAUUUUUUUUUUAAGAAGCAGAAAUCCUUGGCAUUCUUCUUCUUCUUUCAAAAGAAAGGCCUCUGAAGGGCACAAGAACCAGAAAAUAUGGGAAAUGCUUUGGAACGUUAAUUGGCAAAAUCACAAGUGCCCAGAGGCUCGUGGUGAGCCGGCCACUAAGGAGAGCCCCUCCAACAAGCACCACGGGAAGAGUCAGGACCCAGGUCUGGUACCAAAGUGCAGCUCACUAAACACAGAAAGGGGAGUACAGACAGUCCUGAAUACAGUUAUUCAGGAACAACCAAGGUUCAAAUAAGCGAUGUCUUCUUCGUCACGGGAGGAGAGAAAACCGGUAACAGGUGUUGCUUCAAAGGCAGCCGAACUGAAUGGAUGCAUUUUGGAAACACGCAGAUCCCAGCAUGGAGAGGAAGAGCGUCGGGCCCUGGAGUGCCCGGGGACAUCCACGAAGGGGGAUGGCGCAGCAUCCUGCCACGGGGAUCAGGUCAGAAUGCAGACGGAUGACGUGGAACCGAAGUGCCAUCAUAGACGAAAAGAGCCAGAGUCCCCGAGAUCAAAAGCAAGCUACGAGUAAUCGUAAGGAAAUAAGAUAAAUAUACGGAUGAAACAAUCAGUACUUCUGAAACGGCCAUGCCCUGUGAGCAUCAUGACCACAUAAGAAGGAGGGUGACAAGGGCGAGGGUGAGGAGGACACAGAACGGGUGUCCUUGGGAAGUCACAUGAGUCGGAUGAAGGGGCCACCAAUUCUGCAUGAGAAAGGGGGAGAAAGCAUUUUGUGUUUUGGCAAAUAAGCACGUAAGAGUCUGGUGACUGGUUUGCCCCGAAUCAGAGGACAAAUGACUAAGUUUCUUUUAAAAAACUGAGUUACUUUCCCAAUGGCCUCUUUCGCUGAAAUGACUAGAUCUCUAGGUGCGAUGUUAUGUGGCAGAGUAAAAUGCGGAAGGGAACCUUCCAUCCACUACGUCUGCUACAAUAUGGUACCGGGCUGUUUAUCAGAAGACAUGGAGGUGGACAAUCUAAUUGCCCUUCAUCAGCCCAUGAUACUGACACACCGGUGGUGUUACUUUUCAAGACAUUGACCCAGCUCUUCAGAUGGCCCAGACGAGCAAGCGUCUGGCCUGCAGGAGGCCCUUCCUGGACGAGCCUUUCACAGCACCACCUCCUCAGGAAGCGGCCCCCUCUUGAUCUGACUGCAGGGAGGAGGUGCUGGGGGCCUUCAGGACGUGACUCCCUUUUCUGUCUGGAAGCCCUGGGAGCCAGCGAGGGACGCAGCGUCCUUCUCUCACCGCAGAAGCUUACACGCAGGUCACUAGGGCCCCUUAAGAGAUGAGACCCAGAGGGCUUGUAACCAGCCAAGGCCCAGGGUGAUCCGGUCAACUCUCCUCUUUAUCCGCAGGUCCUAGGUUGCUGGGUAGGGACAUCCCAGGGCUCAGGGUUCGGGCUGCGAGUGGAGCAGUGGACAGGCCAGAGGACGGUCACAGAGGGAUGAAGGGCAGAAAGCACCAGUGGCUGCUCCUUCAGUAAAAGCCAUGGCUCGGUGGCAGUUAGAGACCCAGCAGCUGAAACGGCAACAAUUUGGUUGGGUCGAGGUGCCGCACAAAGGCUUAAUUAAGAGCCCAAAGGAUAGAAAUGAACACCACUGACUAACCACAGGAAUCAAAGGUCUCUAAGAGGACUCCGAGUGUGGGGUGAGCAGGUGAUGUGGUGGUCGCUGGAGGGAACCCAGGGCCCGGCCUCCCACAGGGGUCCUGGGUCAAGGAGUAGGAGGGGCAGGAUUUCACUGCAGCAUGAGCAGAAGGCCAGACAGUUUAGAAAAUAAAGGGCUGAGGUAAACAUUCCACCGAAUUAAAUGCAGGAGACAGUCUACGGCCCACAUCAGGGUUUCAACCAGAGACGUGUUUUUUUAAAGCUUAAAAUAAACAUUUUUCUUAAGUAUUAAGGGGGAAUAACCUUUAAUCUGAGAAAGCCAUGCCAUCACUACGAGGACAGAGGCAGCGGGAUGAGUGGGGAUGGCGGCACAGGGUGAGCUGUGUCUCUAUCCUGAGAGGCACCCACACCCCUUUCUGUGCGCCUGCCGUGGGGUCUGGGGGUGCGCAGCCAGGGAAGGGCUCCGGCCCGCUGCAGACCGGUCCCGGCCUUCAGACACGCCUCGCCCACCACCGAAGACUAGAAAGAUGCUUGUGAAACUCCGGCCAGGUGCAGGCCACGGAGAAGGCCCAAGUGCCCCCCACCAUCUUCAGGAUCUCCCCAGGACAAUGAGGUUGUUGUCCCCCAUCUAAACACCAUAUGGCUCUUUGAUAAACACAGACCUCUCUAUCCUCUGUCAAUCUGGUAUUUCGCGAUCAAUAUUACGACUAAAACCACAUAAAACCAAACCAACAGUUAGAACACUGACUGCGAUGUUUACAGCUCUACAUCGUCUCCACUGCCUGAGAGAUAGGUGUGUCCUCUUCACCCGGGGGCAGGGUCCCAUCCCCGGCAGGUGAGCACGGCUGCCCCGGGUGCCCGUGCUGUGAACCAGGACAGCCACCAUCGGUGCCCCUUCUGAAGAACCCGGGCAAAGCUGGGACCCGGCGCGAUCUACCUGACCAUCCUUGAUCUUCUUCUCUAGGAAAAGCACUGUAAGUGCAAGACGGGCUCUAGCCUUCACUCGCUCGACAUCCCUUUCCCUCCGAGCAGCUGCUGCCUACUCGCGCCCGUCUACAAGCCUCGUUAAGUAGAAAAACUACUGCUUUUCUCCUAUGUCUUUUGUUUCGCUUUCCUUCCCGUCACCUACAUCCCCUCAUGGGUGAGUGGCAGCGACCGUAACCAACGCUGACGGCCCAGUACAGGGGGACAGGAACGUCACAGGCUCUUGAGCACGUUUAGGCUGUUGGCGUUUCCUGAAAUCUGGGACUGAAGUGGCAACAGGCCACUGACACCCCUCCACGGCACCGCCGUCCAAGGGACCAUCUUCCCAUUAACCUUCCUGCCGGCGGACGGGUCCAGGUCAGACUUUGUAACAGGUGGAGUUAGAAUAGCAAGCUGGAUGGGGUUUUGAAAACUCAUGUCUAUUUUUUAUUUUCACUGAUUAAAAAUAUUAGAUAGGCAUGAAACUCAUCACUUUUGUGAGUAAGAAAGGACUUUUUUGCAAACAUGUGUCUUUGAGAGCAAAGAAACCCAAGACCCUCGUGUGAUCGGAACACAGAGCGUUCUCGGCCGACACCCCUCACGCGGUCUAGUCAGGCCACAUCGCGUUUCUCCCAAGUGUCCGAGGAGAUACGGCCUGGUGCGUGUUGGGGUUACGUGAACCGAGGUGGGGUUUCCCAAACUGCAGCGAUUACGGCGUCUCGCUGAAAUGAACUAUGGAACCAGUCCUGGAUUAGCCACUCAGUGCAUCCCGCCCUCCGGGCCUUGGCCUUCAAGAGUGGUGCUCCUGGGAUGCCACGGUCAGAGGAGUACUAUCAGGUGAGGCUCUGAGAGGCGGCAGGUGCACGUGCACGGGCUUAUCCCUGUUCCGACCAUGUUCCAAAGGCUCUUUGGGGUUCCCUCCAAAAUAACGGAAAUAUACAAUAGCAGCUACUUUAUUAUUCUAUAUGUAAUGCCACGUAACGGAAGUACAAAAGUUCUGAUUGUUCUUAGGGCCUGAAGGCACAAAGGAACUUAGAAGACGGUCUUGGCUCUUUGAGUGAGGUCAGCAUUACCAAAUUCAGGUAAUUUGGCAAAAAAAACAAAAAACAAAACAAAACAAAAAAAACAAAAGAAUUGUUUGCCAAUUCAGAAGGAGGAAAAGCUAGGACAAAAAUGUUGCAGUUACAGGCACGUACCACAUGCAGAAGACCACACAGGCGGAGGGAGGAGGAGCUUCAAGAAGCUCCCAACACCACCGCAGGAAAGAAGCUAGUACCGCGGACUUGACUCCAACUCCGUGUGGUUCUACUCGCUGCCUCCGGUCUCAAAACGUGGCCGUAUUUCACGCUGCGAGAGCAACAAUGGCUUCCUUCUGUUUCCAUCACACUUUUCAGAAUCUGUAAAGUUCCAGGGAAAUGGGGGUCUAGCCUGGGUGACCGGUGCUGUCCUUGGUGUGGCCUCUGGACGAGCUCACCGUCCCAGUGUGGGAUAAGCUGUCGGCCACACAAUCCUGCUUGAGCCACACGGCCGAGCUUUCUACCCAAGUCGCGUACCCAGAGUGUCAGAACUCUGCCUCCUCGCUUUGCUGUUUAGGAACACGAGCCGAUCCACCUGAUAGGUGGUGAGUAAAACGUGCCUUCAGAUAUUUAGUUCCUCCUCCGCCACUGCUGCUGUUUCCCCGCGCGAAGCCAAGAACAGCACACCGCGUGAGAAAUAAGGUGUCUGCUGACAGGGGAUCCCUGGUAAAAGUAACGAAACACAGAGGACUUUCGCCUCUCGCCCCGAACGACCUGGUCAUUUUGUUAAGAGGACGCGGGGCAAACGUUUGCAGAGCAUGCGGCCAGGUUUUGGUGAAGUGAUUCUGCGUCACCCAGCAAAGUCUGCAACUGAGUCACAGCUGAUUCACGUGCGUCUGGGGGGGGGAAGCAAAUCAGCGUCUCUGCAAGUUGUCUGGGACGAGCCAAAGAGACCAGCCUGACCAGGUCUAUAAUCAUAGAGCGGUACCGGGCUGUGGGUAGACGCCGUGUGUUUUCUGCCCUCGGAACCGAGCGUUCUGGGCACGUGCGUGGCAAAGCACGUGGAGAAUUGCGCUUCCUCUGAUGCCUGACUUGCAGGGCACGAAAACCACCGGAGGAGAAGAGCGAAGCCCCCGAGAGGGCGAACAGCAGGAGCGCGCGCACAGCGCCCCGCCGCCCUCAUUGCCAAGAAGGAACUGGCGUCAGCGUGAAGACUUCCGUGGCCAGAAGAGCCAGUCAGGCCCCGGGCUUGCAGCAGCCAGGCGUCCUGGGCCGGGAGGAAGCGGAGGCUGACCACGAGAGGAAACCACGCACGGGGCGGAAACGGAACACAACAAAACGGCGGGUGAGUCAGGGCUGAAAGGCCUCGACCCCGUGAGAAGGCGGCUAUUUCCAAACACAGCCCUCCGCGGGUGCCCACGCCCCCCACCAAGAAUGGAGCGUGGACGAAGGGGCACGACCCACGGUUCUCCUGUUCGCCCCAGUCCCGGCGACCCCACCAGCUGACCACCCCAGUGAUGCAAGGCACCUGCAGCCCCCGGGACGGUGCCCGAGACUCCAGGGUUCCUGGCUCCCAGGCGGACAGGCCCGGCCUGGACCUCGAGCCCACCUCUGGGCACCUUUCCCACUGCUCCCCGGCCCCCGCCUCGCCCCGUUCUCCUGCCCUUCCGCAGGCUGCUGUGCGGGGAGCUCUGUGGUGGCCACGCUCUCUGGCCCGGCAGCAGUCUCUGGUCCCCCAGCCUCCCAUAAGCCCGUGAACGCCCACCGCCGUUGGAAGCCCGGAGCACCAGGCACACUUCCGGGGAGCACCCCCCAGCCCGCCGCGGGCAGGACGGGCAUGUGCCACACGCGCCCGCAAGCGGGGGGACAGUGACGCGAGAGCCGGUACGAUGCCUCUGCCUGCUGGCCUCCCCGAGACACGGUGGGCUCCCGAGGCCGGCGCUGGUCACCGGGGUGGCCCAGGGCCGGGAGGCGUGUGGCCCGGGACUGGGAGGUGCCCAAAGAGGCAGGGCGGGGAGGCCUUCGGCACAGCCCUGCGCCGCGACCCGCUGCUUCUGCCCCUCGCGGGGACCACAAGCACAUCUUCCUGGGCCGCACAAUUAGACCCCCGUCUGCCACCACGCCCCGUUCCCUCCGAGGGGCCGAUUCCACGGCUGGAGGAGAGCCGAGGGCGGUGGUGCGGCAACGCUCCAAGGGCAUCCCACACCUUGCGGAUCGGCAACCAGGAUGCCCCUGAGGAUCUUUCGUAAAGCGAGUUUCCCAGGUCCCGCUUGCGAUUCUCAUCUAGCAGGUCUGGGACGCGUCUGAGAAUUUUAUUCCCGAGCUUUCAAUUGUCAUAUUUCAAACUUACAGAAAGCUCGCACGCAUAGUACUAGGGAUUCAGAAACACUCUUACUCGGAUUCGCCAGCUGCUUUCUUUUUGCCCUGUUUGCUUCCUGACUCGCUCUGUUUUUUUCCUGAACCAUUUGAGAGUGAGCUGCAGACAACAUGCCCCUUUGCCCCCGAACACAUCAGUGGAUAUUUCCUAAAAUCGAGGCCUUUCUCUUACAUGAUACAGGAGAAUGUUCUGUUCCCUAAGUGAUUUUGAAUAGGGCGGCCACCUUCCUAUUUUAUCAAACUUUCCCCAAAUGUUAUCAAAUGGAUAGGAUUCAGGAAGUCUCUAACACGAAGUAUUCCUGCAGAAUGGUAAACCAGUAGCAGGUUAUUCUGAGGCCACAAGGUCACGGUCAGAGCUUACAGGGAUGAAUCUGCGAGUAUUUUGAUGAACUGGAAGAGAACAUCACAUAAAAAGCAGCACUCUCCUGGGCUGUUUCGGGAUGUGUGCUGGGCAGCCUCUAACUGGCCCCCACUGGCCCCUGCCCCUGGUACGAGUCCUUUGUGGAACCCUCCCUCCUAGAUGUAGGCUGGACCUAGUGACUCACUUCUCAACAGCGAACACAGCGAAGGCGAGGGGAUGUCACUUCUGAAGUUAGGUUACAAAGAGGCCGUGGCUUCUGUCUCAGGCGCUCCUUCUCUUGCACGGGCUCUGUGAGUGGUCCCGUGGAGAGGCCCACGUGGCGGGGAACCCACAUCCGGGCCCUGAAGCUCCCGGCAGGCGUGCGGGUGAGCCCGUCCAGCUCUGGGGGGCCUGCAGCGCUGCCCGACAGCAGAGGCACCCCGGUGAGCCAUGUGCAGAUUCACAGAAAGUGGGAGAGAGCCACUGUUUACUGUUUGGGGAUAAUUUGUUGUCCGGCGAUAGAAAAGACGGGAUGGCCAGCGUGGAAUAUCACAAAACUCAUGACUUUAAAAUAUGCCGGAUUCCAUGGAGAGCUGAAUGGAGUAAUAAAAGGUGGAGGGGUCCUGGCCAGAGAGGCGGGAGGUGGAAUACUUCUCCUGAUUAUUUAACCUCUCUCUCAACCAAAUUCUUCCUAGUGACUUUUAAAAAUGUUUUUAUUUUUAAAAUACAUGUGCAUAGUUUAAAGGAAUCAAGCAAUAUAAAAAUAUUGUGAAUAAAGAUUCAUUCCUGCUUUUGUUCCCCA